rnacentral:rRNA from 1 species
AGUGGCGGACGGGUGAGUAACGCGUAGGUAUCUGUCCAUGGGUGGGGGAUAACAGCGGGAAACUGCUGCUAAUACCGCAUGACACCUGAGGGUCAAAGGCGCAAGUCGCCUGUGGAGGAGCCUGCGUCCGAUUAGCUAGUUGGUGGGGUAAAGGCCUACCAAGGCGACGAUCGGUAGCUGGUCUGAGAGGAUGAUCAGCCACAUUGGGACUGAGACACGGCCCAAACUCCUACGGGAGGCAGCAGUGGGGAAUAUUGGACAAUGGGCGCAAGCCUGAUCCAGCAAUGCCGCGUGGAUGAAGAAGGUCUUCGGAUUGUAAAGUCCUUUCGGCGGGGACGAUGAUGACGGUACCCGCAGAAGAAGCCCCGGCUAACUUCGUGCCAGCAGCCGCGGUAAUACGAAGGGGGCUAGCGUUACUCGGAAUGACUGGGCGUAAAGGGCGCGUAGGCGGCUUGGUUUGUUAGGCGUGAAAUUCCUGGGCUUAACCUGGGGGCUGCGCUUAAUACGGCCAGGCUUGAGUGUGAAAGAGGGUCGUGGAAUUCCCAGUGUAGAGGUGAAAUUCGUAGAUAUUGGGAAGAACACCGGUGGCGAAGGCGGCGACCUGGUUCAUUACUGACGCUGAGGCGCGAAAGCGUGGGGAGCAAACAGGAUUAGAUACCCUGGUAGUCCACGCCGUAAACGAUGUGUGCUGGA